rnacentral:misc_RNA from 1 species
UGCCUAUCGCCAUAGAAAUUACUCAAAGGUAAUUGAGUUUGUUCAGUUUAAAGAACAAUUGCAACGGUCUAAUCAGUAUUUAGUCGCGAGGGUUGAAUCACCAAUUCUACAGCUAAAGCAGAGAGCUGAUAGCAUUGAAGAAGAAGAGGGUGUUCUUGAAAGCUUGAAUUGUGGAAUUCAUUUUGUUGAGCUUUCUAAUGAGAUCACAUCCAAAACUUUGACCUUCAAUGAAGAUUUUCAGUCACGGCCUUGGUGGACACCAGUUCCAGGGAAAAAUUAUCUUUUAGGUCCAUUUGAAGGAAUCUCAUAUUGUCCUAAAGAAAACUUGACAAAAGAAAGGGAAGAAAAUGUACGG